UUUUAUGACCUUUGGUUAAUUGCUUUAUAAC
rnacentral:piRNA from 1 species